rnacentral:tRNA from 1 species
AUGCUUGUAGCUCAACAGGAUAGAGCAACAGAUUACGAAAUUGGAGGUUGAGAGUUCAAAUCUUUCCAAGCAUG